AAACAAGUCACCCCAGUCCACCUGCAUUGGAAUGUAUGAAAGCUAUGCUUUAAGUUUUUCUUGUUUUUGAUGCCUAAGGUGAAGAUCACUGAAAAUUUCUGAAAAUUUAUGCCUGAGAGCUUCUGCUUCACAGUAAGUAUGAGGAGGACAAUAUUAGUCGGAUGGUGAAAAAGUUUCACAUUUUCCCUGUUUCUGAGAGGAUCCUUUCAAUCUCUUCAAGAAGUCUUUCCUUUUCGUCAGCCAAGUCAUCAUUCUUUUUCUGAAGCUCUUCUAUCUGCUUAGUCUGUUCAGAAUCCUUCCUAUUCAUGAAAGACAAAUUAAGUUUCAGUGACCGAACUUCCUUCUCAAGAUUUUCACACCUCUUCAAGACAGAUUGCAUAUCACAUGGAAUUGCUGGCGUUAAAUUCCUUUCCUUUGCCUCUGCCAUUUUUCGCGAACGCUCCACCCUGCGCUUUUUAGUUGUGUCGACCUUGUCCACUGAGCCUCCUGAUGUCACAGAUCCAUAUCGAACUAGCCCUCCCCUCUUUCCGUCAUCCUUCAAAUUUUUAAUUAUCCGUUCUCGAAAAUCUUUGGCUUUUG
rnacentral:misc_RNA from 1 species